AUGACAUUCUAUGGUACACAGGACAAGUGCAAGGCUUGUGACAAGACCGUUCAUUUCAUUGACCUCCUUACUGCGGAUGGCAUUCCCUACCACAAGUAUUGCUUCAAAUGCAGCCAUUGCAAAGGCACUCUUUCGAUGUGCAGCUACUCCUCCAUGGAUGGAGUUCUUUUCUGCAAGACUCAUUUUGAGCAGCUUUUCAAGGAAACAGGCAGCUUCAAGAAAAACUUCCCCACAUGCGCAAAGGCAAAUAAUGAGCAGUCUAAGGUCCCAAACAAGUAUGGCUCUGUGUUCUGUGGAACUCAGGACAAGUGUGCUGCCUGCAAGAAGACUGUGUACCCAUUGGAGAAGAUGACCUUGGAGGGCGAGCCCUACCACAAGACCUGCUUCAAGUGCGCUCACGGCGGCUGCAUCCUGACGACCGCAUCCUGCGCCUCCCUUAACGGGAUCCUAUACUGCCAGAACCACUUCUGGCAGCUGUUCAAGGAGACGGGCAGCUACAGCAACCUGCUCAAGCCCGCCUCGGCCAAGAACGCCGACGAGCCAGAGGCAGCCAAGGAAGAGGAGCAGGCGCCGGAAGCUGCCGAGGACCAGGAGAGCUCAUAA
rnacentral:rRNA from 1 species